UGCAGGAUUUUGCACUUCUCUUUUUUGUUCCACUGCUUUGGAAUUUUAUUAAGCGGUGUCAUCAUAAUCAAAAGUGGUAACCCUUGCCUGAGCGGUAUUCAUAUUAUUUGGGAGAUGCAUUUGGUUGGCUUCUGCCUCUUUCUGUUCUGUCCAGUGUACAAGUAAGAUGAUUGGUUUGAUUUCUGCAAGAAAAAAUUUAUGAGCUUCCCGUUAUUUGUUUUGCUUUGAAACUCAUGUGUUUAGUAUGCACCUUCCGAACGAGUUCCAAAGAACUGCUACAAAAACGAUGGUCAGGAAGGGACAAUAUUCAAAGAUCCUGAGUAUUUGGAGUUCCUUGAAUUUCUUGCGAAGCCAGUUGAGAAUCUUCCUAGUGCAGAGAUACAAUUAGAGAGGAGUGAAGUGGAAAGAGUUGGUGCGCCAAAGGAUGCUUCCAUAGUUACACCUUUGAUGGAUUUUGUUAGACAGAAAAGAACAGCUAAGGUUGGAUCACGAGUAAUAUAUUAU